rnacentral:rRNA from 1 species
UAGGGAAUCUUCGGCAAUGGGGGGAACCCUGACCGAGCAACGCCGCGUGAGUGAAGAAGGUUUUCGGAUCGUAAAGCUCUGUUGUUAAGGAAGAACGAGUGUGAGAAUGGAAAGUUCAUGCUGUGACGGUACUUAACCAGAAAGGGACGGCUAACUACGUGCCAGCAGCCGCGGUAAUACGUAGGUCCCGAGCGUUGUCCGGAUUUAUUGGGCGUAAAGCGAGCGCAGGCGGUUAGAAAAGUCUGAAGUGAAAGGCAGUGGCUCAACCAUUGUAGGCUUUGGAAACUGUUUAACUUGAGUGCAGAAGGGGAGAGUGGAAUUCCAUGUGUAGCGGUGAAAUGCAUAGAUAUAUGGAGGAACACCGGUGGCGAAAGCGGCUCUCUGGUCUGUAACUGACGCUGAGGCUCGAAAGCGUGGGGAGCGAACAGG